GUUUUUGGAUGCUGUGCAGUGGCAGCUGAGGUUUUGUGCAGAGGAAUCGGAAACCAUGAAGGGCUGCACUUUUUUGCUUUUUCUGGGUUUUCUUCUUAUCUGUGGCAGCAGUGUUUUUCCACCUGAUUCUUGUGAUAAUUACAAAAACAUAACUGAACCAUGGCGUAACUCUGGAUAUAAAUCUACUUCCUUCCUGGGCUUCCC